UAGGGAAUCUUCGGCAAUGGACGAAAGUCUGACCGAGCAACGCCGCGUGAGUGAAGAAGGUUUUCGGAUCGUAAAACUCUGUUGUUAGAGAAGAACAAGGACGUUAGUAACUGAACGUCCCCUGACGGUAUCUAACCAGAAAGCCACGGCUAACUACGUGCCAGCAGCCGCGGUAAUACGUAGGUGGCAAGCGUUGUCCGGAUUUAUUGGGCGUAAAGCGAGCGCAGGCGGUUUCUUAAGUCUGAUGUGAAAGCCCCCGGCUCAACCGGGGAGGGUCAUUGGAAACUGGGAGACUUGAGUGCAGAAGAGGAGAGUGGAAUUCCAUGUGUAGCGGUGAAAUGCGUAGAUAUAUGGAGGAACAGCAGUGGCGAAGGCGGCUCUCUGGUCUGUAACUGACGCUGAGGCUCGAAAGCGUGGGGAGCAAACAGG
rnacentral:rRNA from 1 species